AUUGCGCAAUGGGGGGAACCCUGACGCAGCAACGCCGCGUGAAGGAAGAAGGUUUUCGGAUCGUAAACUUCUUUAAGUGUGGAAGAUAAUGACGGUACACACAGAAUAAGCCACGGCUAACUACGUGCCAGCAGCCGCGGUAAUACGUAGGGGGCUAGCGUUAUCCGGAAUUACUGGGCGUAAAGGGUGCGUAGGUGGUUUCUUAAGUCAGAGGUGAAAGGCUACGGCUCAACCGUAGUAAGCCUUUGAAACUGGGAAACUUGAGUGCAGGAGAGGAGAGUGGAAUUCCUAGUGUAGCGGUGAAAUGCGUAGAUAUUAGGAGGAACACCAGUUGCGAAGGCGGCUCUCUGGACUGUAACUGACACUGAGGCACGAAAGCGUGGGGAGCA
rnacentral:rRNA from 1 species